rnacentral:lncRNA from 14 species
ACAGCCAGCUAACAAAUUCACAAGUAUCUCAGAGGACAGAAAGCCACUUACCGGUUCCCAAGAGUUAAAGGUCUCAUCGCAGUCAGAGAUGUUGCUUAAGAGAGCUGCACAGAACCUGGCUGAAAUCAGACACUUAAAAGCCGUUGAUCCUUCAGGAGCCCAGACUUGUCCUGCUUUGCUCCCAGAUGAUCUACUCGAAAGAGAAAAGCACAGACAGACAUCCAGAACACUCGGUAACCAGCUCGAGGCUAAAAAUGCGAUCCUAGGCAAAGAACACACAAGCGGAUCUGCAUCUCUGUCACAUAAACAUGAAUGAGUCUUUCAUUCACUCCUGUCUUUGGGGGAUACCGCUCCCCUCCCAAGGAACCACCGCCUUCCACCCCAGCCCAGAACAGAACAAGGACCCUGGCUGGGUACUUACCCCACCGCAGCAGGACAGCCCCCAGCCUAUGUCCUCCUCACAGCACCAAGGCCACGCAGAGCUACCCCAGGCCGGGGAAGAACUGCACGGCCAGGGCCGGGGACACCCCAUUCAUUCCCAGCGCACACACGGAGCCGGCUGGGCACCCCCCAGCCCCUGCACAGAGCUGGCUCCGGGCUCUGAGCACAGCAAAUACCUGCCCGGGAGCUCGUUGCAGACCCGGCCCCGCCACCUGCUCCAAGCGGCCUUCCUCCGGGAUCGCCACCUCCAUCUCGCAGCCGCUGCCGAGCCCCCUUGGCGGCCGUGCCGACAACGAGAAGCCGAGAACCCCGCUCCCUGCCGCGAGCCAACGGAACGACAACGGUGCCGAAGCCACCGCCCGCCCCGCGCCACAGCAAGCGGAGCCGGAACACGCCUGCCGGAGCCGCCGCUCGCCCCCUCCCACCACUGGGGGACGGCAGCAGCCCCGCGGCGCCGGAUGCUCCCGAGGGCCUACGUCCCCUUCCCUGCCUGAGCAGACCGGGGCAGCAAAGGAGCCAAAUGGACAAGAGACGCUGGAGAAAGAGCUGGAGAAAGCUCUUUGUUGGGUACCCACCGCAGUGAAGAGCUGGGAAAAGGGCAGCGGCAGCAGCUGGUGCAGGACGGUUCCUGCUCACAGCCGCGUGCUCUCGCCCGUUCUUCCCGCUGCCAUCCUCGCUCGCUCUUUCCCCACUGCUCCUUCCACACUCGACGGACUCCUCCGCCGGCAGCCGCUGCAGGGGCCGCAGGACGCGGCCAGGGCCAAGCAGUCCCCGCUGCUUCGCCGGCUGCACAGAGAGCCGCUGGCCCGGCGCCGCAG